rnacentral:rRNA from 1 species
UGGGGUAACGGCCCACCAAGGCAACGAUCAGUAGGGGUUCUGAGAGGAAGGUCCCCCACAUUGGAACUGAGACACGGUCCAAACUCCUACGGGAGGCAGCAGUGAGGAAUAUUGGUCAAUGGACGAGAGUCUGAACCAGCCAAGUAGCGUGCAGGAUGACGGCCCUAUGGGUUGUAAACUGCUUUUAUAAGGGAAUAAAGUGAGUUUCGUGAGACUUUUUGCAUGUACCUUAUGAAUAAGCAUCGGCUAACUCCGUGCCAGCAGCCGCGGUAAUACGGAGGAUGCGAGCGCUAUCCGGAUUUAUUGGGUUUAAAGGGAGCGCAGACGGGUCGUUAAGUCAGCUGUGAAAGUUUGGGGCUCAACCUUAAAAUUGCAGUUGAUACUGG